rnacentral:rRNA from 1 species
UACAUAGGGUGCAAGCGUUGUCCGGAAUUAUUGGGCGUAAAGAGCUCGUAGGCGGUCUGUCGCGUCGGAUGUGAAAAUCCAGGGCUUAACCCUGGACCUGCAUUCGAUACUGGCAGGCUUGAAUCCGGGAGAGGGAUGCGGAAUUCCAGGUGUAGCGGUGAAAUGCGUAGAUAUCUGGAGGAACACCGGUGGCGAAGGCGGCAUCCUGGACCGGCAUUGACGCUGAGGCGCGAAAGCCAGGGGAGCAAAGCGGGAUUAAGAUGACCCUAGUACGUCAGACCCAAG